GACGAACGCUGGCGGCGUGGAUUAGGCAUGCAAGUCGAACGGUAGGAUCCUUUCGGGGAUCCGAGAGUGGCGAACGGGUGAGUAACACGUAGGUGAUCUACCCUCAAGACGGGGACAACCCAGGGAAACUUGGGCUAAUACCGGAUGUGAGUGUCCUUUUAGGACAUUUGAAAGGUGGCUUUCGGGCUGCCGUUUGGGGAUGAGCCUGCGCUCUAUUAGUUAGUUGGUGAGGUAACGGCUCACCAAGGCGAUGAUAGAUAGGCGGCCUUAACGGGUGGUCGCCCACACUGGGAUUGAGAUACGGCCCAGACUCCUACGGGUGGCUG
rnacentral:rRNA from 1 species